rnacentral:rRNA from 1 species
GACGGAGGAUGCAAGUGUUAUCCGGAAUCACUGGGCGUAAAGCGUCUGUAGGUGGUUUGCUAAGUCUGCUGUUAAAGCUUUGAAGCUCAACUUCAAAAAUGCAACAGAAACUAGUAGACUUGAGUGUGGUAGGGGCAGAGGGAAUUUCCAGUGAAGUGGUGAAAUGCGUAGAUAUUGGAAAGACCGCCAAAGGCGAAGGCACUCUGCUGGGCCAUAACUGACACUGGAGAGACGAAAAGCUAGGGGGAGCAAAAUGGG